rnacentral:tRNA from 1 species
GGUGGGAUGGCUGAGUGGACGAAAGCGGCGGUCUUGAAAACCGUUGUGGCGAAAGUCACCGUGGGUUCGAAUCCUACUCCCACCGCCA